UAUGCUGAAUUCGUCUUGAUUUGCUUGGUUUUAACACUUGGGAGUAGCAUGUCCAAACGUUAUAGUCAAAAUACAACUAUAUCAUUACUUUUGGACCUUGGGCUCUGGGUCUUCAUACUUUUCUAGCAAACACUUUUGUUCUAAUCUGAGUUGUACCUGUCAAGAAAGUCCCCACUAAUAGCACAAUGAGAGUAACUGCCACCAUUCUGUUCACCAGGUCCCUAGUUCUGGAAACCAAGGAAACAGAACGAAAGACUUCUCUGGUGUGGUGUCAACAAUAGCGACAGACACAACAGCAGCCCCACAGCUACCUCUCUGUUACUGCUUACUCCACUCUGGGACAGAUCUUCCUCUGCUCCUCGUGGCUGUAUCACAGGAGCUCUGAGAGAGGCAACCAGAGCACCACAACAAAUUUUCAUCAGUGUGUGGAACCUCUAAACCUCCCAGACUGAAGUGCUUACCAUGAGCUGUCAAAAACCUGGUUCUCUUUUGCAGCCAGAAGAGUGAUUUGACCACAUCAGACAAAGCUUUCUUUAUACUGAGGAACAGAAAAAAAUUUUUUGAUGGAACUGAGACAAAAUUUGAUGAAAUUUCAUUGUUAAACUCCAGUGUUCACCGAUCCUGAGUUAACUCCUGGAGCUCUGAGUUUUGUUUUGUUUUGUUUUUGGUACCGGAGAUCGAACUCAGAUCCUUGCGCUUGCGAGGCAGGCGGUGGAACCAGAGCUAAACCCCCAGCCAGCUCUGAGUUUUUACACUGCACCCGGCUACCUGCAGCCACUGGUGUGAGCAGCACUUACCUUCUGGAAGUCAUAGCAGCUUACUGCUCCUCAAAUUACUAUUUCCAAACUCGAGUCAAACCAGAAACAAAUUCAAGAAUUAAAGAGAGCCUCAGAAGAGGAAUGUAAGAUCAAAAGUAGUUCCCACUAUCACAAAAAUAAAAAUAGGCCAAGACACCACUGUCUCUUGGAAUCUUUAUUAGUCUGAGAAGGCACUCUCAGGUCUCAUCUGACCACCUUAUUUACCAGAGCCAAAGAGAACUGCAGCAAACAGGACAGAAUCAGAUCUGAUCCAAUCUCCUCCAAGCAGGCACAGUGAUCUUCCUGAAGUCACAUCUCAUCUUGUCACCUGUUUAAUACCUUCAAUGCUGCCACUACCCUAAGAGUAAGAUCCAACUCCUCUCUGACUCCACCUGUCACUCUCAGUGCCUCAAAACCACCUCUCAGCCCUCCAGGUACUCUCUCUUCACAAAAAGGCUGAGCUCCGGGAAGCUGCCCUCCAGAGAGAGAGGAGAAAGGGCAACAGUGGGGUGGAGAAGGCAGGAUCCCAGAGCUUUAGCUCUGCACCAGGAACAUCCCUGUAGUCUCCAGGCAAAACUGCACUGAAUCCUACAAUAUGAGCCCCCGUGAGAAUGCCAGGCUGAGCCCAGGAAAGCCAUUCAGGCUCACCCAGAGGCGGCAGAAGCUCCAGCUCUCAGAGCAGAUCCUUCUCAGGGACACAGUGUAAAGUCACAGCCAUCUCCAAAUGCCACCAGGACAGUGCUGUGUGGGCUCCAUCUGCACAGUCAGAGUAGAGGGUUAUAGCAACCCUGGUAAUAACUGCAUCUGAACGACUCCCAGAGUCUCCUCAGGAGCAAGACCACCAGUGCUCAGAAUGCUGAGUUUGACAGAGGUGAGACUUGAAAACAACGGCUGGGAUUGCUAUUCAAUGGAAGACCCCAGCAUAAACAACAGCUCCAUUGGUAAGACAGGCCACUGAGACACAGGUGACAGAUAACUGUCACUGCCCUGUGGAGCUGCUGAGUCCCGAUGUCAGCCCUUAUUCCCCUGGACACGUGGCCUUUCAGAGAACACACAAGCUAUGGAGAAAGGUCAUGCAGAGCUGCCACUGCCAGUCCCAGAGGAGCCCUACCUUCCCCUGCUAACCAUAAAUGGCCCUGAGAGAGCAAAAGCAGAGUAUACAGAAAUGAUGAUAUUCAAACAGUGCCCAACAUCUUCUUGGUGGUGGUUUGAAAAAAUGAGUAAGGGCAGGAGAAAAAAAGCAAACAUAACCAUGAGUUUCAGCCCUCUGCUAAGUGAUGUGCUCACCUGAGCAGAAGAAAGCAGCAGGCACCUGAGCAACUGUGCAGGGCUGAAGCAGAUGACCCAGCCUUCGGAGCAUCUGCAGGCAGCCAGUGGCACCAUGGUUAGCUGCCAACUCUGGAGCAGGGGUGGGUGCUGGGGACCUGCCCCACCCUCAGACUUGUGACCUUGGGCAACUCACUUUCUCCUUUUGGGUUUUGGUCUCUGGACAAUAAAAUAAGGAUAAGAACAAUGCAAAGCUCACAAGACUCCUAUGAGGUUUAAAUAAAUUAGUGCCUCAGAAGGGCCUUGGCAUGUAUGAGGUAGUCCUUAAAUGCUGGCUGUUGUUAUCCCAUUAAACAGGAGAAGCACGCACCGCCCCUGGCUCUGUAGGACCUCUCUUGGGCCCGA